rnacentral:rRNA from 1 species
CCUACGGGCGGCUGCAGUGAGGAGUAUUGGUCAAUGGACGAGAGUCUGAACCAGCCAAGUAGCGUGAAGGAUGACUGCCCUAUGGGUUGUAAACUUCUUUUAUAUGGGAAUAAAACGUUCCACGUGUGGGAUUUUGUAUGUACCAUAUGAAUAAGGAUCGGCUAACUCCGUGCCAGCAGCCGCGGUAAUACGGAGGAUCCGAGCGUUAUCCGGAUUUAUUGGGUUUAAAGGGAGCGUAGGUGGAUUGUUAAGUCAGUUGUGAAAGUUUGCGGCUCAACCGUAAAAUUGCAGUUGAAACUGGCAGUCUUGAGUACAGUAGAGGUGGGCGGAAUUCGUGGUGUAGCGGUGAAAUGCUUAGAUAUCACGAAGAACUCCGAUUGCGAAGGCAGUUCACUGGACUGCAACUGACACUGAGGCUCGAAAGUGUGGGUAUCAAACAGGAUUAGAUACCCUAGUAGUC